rnacentral:lncRNA from 1 species
GCAUGUGACUCUGGAGGUCAGAGGACAGUUUCCUCAGGAGUCAGUCUUUCUCGUAUGUGGAUUGUGGGGAAAGAACUCAGGUGAUGAGGCUUGGUGGUGGGCAACUUUACCUACUCACUUCAUCCUUUUCCUUUCUUCUGUGGCUCCAGGAAGCCUGGUGGGCUGACUCUGAGAGCCCACGUCCUGAACAGUUUUUGGCUUAGGCAUCUUCCCUGGUUUUCCAACAUGCUUCUCCUGGUGUGUGGGUGGGAUUUUUCUCCUUCCCUGUUACUAGGUGCUUUCUCAACCCUAGACACAGUCCUCUGCAUUCCUCCUCUGUGCCUUGAUCCAUCUUGGGUGGCUUUGUUUUCACAGCAUUGCAACACUUGAGAAGGCCUCUCCCUUUCUCUGUUGCCACCAACUGGCCUUAAGCAGAAAAAGGCUUUGAAACAUGUAGGAUGUGGGGCUGGCAGGAGAUAUGGAAGAUUGAGAGAGCAAGGACAGAAAUGAACCCCUGGGACCAGAUAGGCACUUUCUGUGCUGGGUAUAAACACUGGCUCCAUGAAGGUCUGUCUGUAGGGCUGUGGUCUAUUUGGCCUCUCUUUACUCGGUCUUACCCUGGUGUCCUUUUCUCUAGGUGGGAGACACCAUUCCCUCAGUGGAGGUAUUUGAAGGGGAACCUGGAAAGAAGGUGAACUUGGCAGAGCUGUUCAAGGACAAGAAAGGUGUUUUGUUUGGAGUCCCUGGGGCAUUUACACCUGGCUGUUCCAAGACCCAUCUGCCUGGGUUUGUGGAGCA